GAUUUCUAUGCCACCCACCCAGGUAAACCAGGUAGAACGCUAAGAGGCAUUCCUUGAGGGGAGGAUACUGUGAGGGUUUUGAGUUUAUGCAGCAUUUGGGUUUCCUGUGUUCCUCUCCUCUGUGUGUGUUCUCCCUCUCACUCUCUCUCUGCAGCGCUGGAGGCACGGCGGGAGGCGGGGCCGGCCCGGGCUGAUUGCACUCACCUGAUUCUCGUUGUUGUCAGUUACCUGGCUUUAUAUGCCAGCCCCUCUGUCGACUCAGUGCCGGAUGAUUUCUCAGUCAUGCAACACAUGCAACAGGAAAUGCACAGCAUUGCAAAAAGUAGUCAGUUCAGCAUUUAAUACACUACAG